rnacentral:rRNA from 1 species
UACAGAGACUGCAAGCGUUAUUCGGAUUCACUGGGCGUAAAGGGUGCGCAGGCGGCCGUGUGUGUCAGGUGUGAAAGCCCGGAGCUUAACUCCGGAAUUGCGCCUGAAACUACAUGGCUAGAGCAUUGGAGAGGGAAGUGGAAUUCACGGUGUAGCAGUGAAAUGCGUAGAUAUCGUGAGGAACACCAGAGGCGAAGGCGGCGAUCUGGGAAGAUACUGACGCUGAGGUGCGAAAGCGUGGGGAGCAAACAGG